GUUUGUGCCAUUUUUUUAACCUAGCACAAUAAAUACUGCCAGAUUUGCAUACAUGGGUAUCUCGAACAAUGACUUACAGUAGGCAGAGCCCAACCCCUGCCUAAUUCUGUGAGUUUCAUCACCUUAUGGUCCACAGGGCAGAGAGGCCUGAACAAAAGCAUCCACUGGUAUCACGUUUUGUGUAUGCCCUUCCAGUUUUCUUCAUGCACAUCUAUUUAUACAUAGAUGGCACUGUUACCUAUAAAGUAAAAAACUGGAAGCAAACUAAUUGUCCAAAAUUAGGGAAAAUUUUCACCUACACUGUAUUAUAGCUGAUUGCUAGAAUAUUUUGCUGCUAUGCCAGUGAUCCUUAGAAUAUUAUGUAGCAAUGUGGGGAAAGAAUUCAAAUGUACAUGUAAGUGAAAAGGUCAGGACACAAAAUUAUUUGUGUGCUUUGAUACAACCUAUGUAAAAAUAAAUGCACACGGCGGGGGGACUAGAAGGACAUAUGCAGACCUGAUUAAGGAGUUGCUAUUUGAGGAUAGUAUGAUUAUGGAUCAUUUCCUUAUUUUUCAAAAUUUUCAUAAUGUUGCUACAUUAUUUUUACAGAAAAUUAAGCAUAUUAUACAUACAUACAUACAUACGUGCCUCUUCUAAGGCAGUUUAGGACUUUGCUGGGCCUUGAAUUUUAAGAUUAUCAGUUCGAAUUAGAAGUAAUAAAAGCUCUUACUUAAACUAGUUUAACCUAAGCGAAUUGAUUGAGAUCUAUCAUUGGAAAGUUCAGAGGCUGGACCACCUUCAGGGCGAGCUAUUCCAGAGAUUCAUGGGGUCCUGAGUGCUGGGGCUCCAUUUCUCUCGACUUUGCCUUGCUGCACGUAUCAACCUUCUGGUCACACUUCUUACCUUGUGGCAGAAAAAUGGCUGCAGCAGCUCCCUCGGAGCGAAAGAGCAAGGUCAACUCCUCCCCCAACCAUCAAACAACCGUCUUUGCUUCACUCUGAUUGGACCAACAUGGACCAAUCACUGAGCCCAGCAGACUGCUGCCCUGGCUACGGGUUAAAUCACGCCGUGCGAACACCAGUCUGUGGUAGGCUGGUUACUGUUCGCGAGUGUUUGUUGCCCCUCCUUGGGCGAGGAUUUUUCUUCCCCACCUCACUGACUUCAGCAUAGGAGAGCUACACAAACAUGACCAUGACUAAUGAGUGAAGAAUCCCAUGGCGUUAGUUGGAUUUUUCACGUAACGAGUAAUUUGCAUGCCUCCGUGACUCUCAGCUGCAAACACUCAUUUCUCAGUCAUGGAUCUGUGCCCUGGCUGAGCUGACUCCGCUUCAAGUUCAGGUCCGGUCUGCAUGUCUCUCACUCUGCAUCCGGUGGUUACUCAGACAGAUGGCUGCUACCUCAUGGCACAUCACAGACACUCAAGAACCCGGGUCAAACUCUGCAAGAACAUUUAAAGCCUCACUCAUGUCACACCUGCUAAUAUUCCGUUGGCCAAAACAUAUGACCGAGCCUGAAGACACCGGGGCAGGGGUGCAUACUGUGUCUGCUUUCCUGGGAAACACUGCAAUGUCACAUGCACAUUAUUCUAAGGUUAUUGGGUGUAUAAUCAUAUUACACAAGCAGCAGAGAAGAUUUGAGAACAAUAAUGCAAUCUACC
rnacentral:lncRNA from 1 species